rnacentral:rRNA from 1 species
GAUGAAUGCUGGCGGCGUGCCUAACACAUGCAAGUCGAGCGGCAGCGAGGGGUGCUUGCACCCUGUCGGCGAGCGGCGAACGGCUGAGUAACGCGUAGGAAUUUGCCCCAAAGUGAGGAAUAACUGCCCGAAAGGGUAGCUAAUGCCGCAUAUGGUCUUCGGAUUAAAGGAUUUAUCCGCUUUGGGAGAAGCCUGCGUUGGAUUAGGUUGUUGGUAGGGUAAUGGCCUACCAAGCCGACGAUCCAUAGCUGGUCUGAGAGGAUGAUCAGCCAGACUGGAACUGAGACACGGUCCAGACUCCUACGGGAGGCAGCAGUGAGGAAUCUUCCACAAUGGGCGAAAGCCUGAUGGAGCAACGCCGCGUGAAGGAUGAAGGCCUUCGGGUUGUAAACUUCUUUUAUGAGUGAAGAAUAUGACGGUAACUCAUGAAUAAGCACCGGCUAACUACGUG